rnacentral:lncRNA from 1 species
CUUGAUGGCCCUUGACGACGCAAUUAUUGUUUUAAAACGACCACUGUACACUGUGUGUAUCUGGGUCAAUUAUAACGUUGCCUCGAUAACAUGUAAACUAAUUAUGUUUGAAGAUUUAACCACGGGAUACUGACUGUGUAUUUCAUUAUAGACUUACAUGGAGAACAUUCUGGUUAAACUAUUAAUAUUAGAUCGGAAAACAGAAAGAUAAUAUUCUUAUCAAACGUAUUUAAUUCAAUCGGAAUGAAAGAAAUAU